GGAUUUUGGAAGGACAGUUAUAUUCCUUUUGGGGAUUAUACUGGAGUCAAUUUCUUGUUUGCCAAAGAUAAGUCUGAAAUGAUGGCAAACACUGAGUCUCACUCUUUAAAUAUCUGAGGGUAUGUUCUAUACAUAGAAGCUCAGGGCUGGGGGAUAGGGAUUACUUUAAAAGGGUGUGAGCUGUCAUUGACAAUGCAAAGACAACAUGUAUUUAUCAAAUGUCUAUACUCUAUCAGGAUAAAAUGAAACAGAUUUUCUCCCAGUUCUAGAAGUGAUCCUUUAGGAGAUGGAACGUAAUGACUGCUAAACUACAUUCAGCAUAUAAAUCUGUGGCCACCUCUGAUUUUAUGAAUGGAAUGGCCAGGAAGUGUUCAGAAUUUGACCAAGCGCCGGAGUGAAGUGGCCGCUUGAUUAAAGCCCCUGAAACUGCUGUUGUUCUCUCAGCUGCCCAGUGGGAUGAAAGGACCGUGUGUCACUAUGGACACGGCGUGGCAAAGCAAGGAUCCAUAUGCCCUGCAGGAAGUGUGGUGCUUUUCGUUUUCUUUAAACUGAGAGACAAUCUCUUCCUGGCCAGCUGGCAAGCACAGGGAACUGAAUAAGGUUCAUGCCCUACAGUGACUGUAGGCAGGUGCAUCGCUUCCAGGAGGUGGCCUUGGUUCUUCCAUUGCAAGAACAAACAAUUUGAAAAUUAUCCAAAAGUUUGAUUGGUGUCUGGGAGGCAGGAAGCAUUGCCUGAGUAGCUACCUGUCUUACAGCAUGUUCUCCAGAGCUGAUGUUUGGGUCUGAUGAAGGAAGUGCCAUCUGCAUCUGAUGAGACCAACUGAGCUUUUUUGGGAACAUUUUCCAGGAAGAAUUUGUCUCUAGCGCACUGUUCAAUGAACAUACACUUGGAAAAGGAAAUGGUUUGAAACUUAUCACAAACUUUGGAAGAAAAGGUAUCUGGCCUUCAUGGAGGAACAAGAAGUGACUCAAAGACGUUGAUUGUACUGUGGUCUUAAAUCAGUUUUAUUCACUGGUUUAUUCACACCUAUUACUUACUGUGCUUAUGGUGAAAGUACAUUUUUCUCCCUUAAGUACGAGGAGGGCAUGGUGUUUCACUGCCUGCCUCAAAAUGUUAACGUUUACUUUUGCUGCCCCUGAACUUACAAUGUCAACUACCUUUGCAGCAUCUUUGCAGUGGGGAAGAAUGAAGCAACAGGAUUAAUAAUUACGAAAAGCCACACAAUAGGGGGAAGUGUGGUGUGCUGAUAGGAAGUGAAUGAAAUGAGGUCGCUGACUCUGCUUGGACCUGCGGUAUAUUUCAACUGUAACCUUCAAUACCUCUUGCUAUGCCCAUCUCCUGUCCUUCUUUAUCAGAGACUUUCAAGUUCAC
ensembl:lncRNA